AUGACAAGGUGUGGGUGGUAAUGACAAGGUGUGGGUGGUAAUGACAAGGUGUGGUGGAAAUGACAAGGUGUGGGUGGAAAUGACAAGGUGUGGGUGGAAAUGACAAGGUGUGGGUGGUAAUGACAAGGUGUGGUGGAAAUGACAAGGUGUGGGUGGAAAUGACAAGGUGUGGGUGGAAAUGACAAGGUGUGGGUGGAAAUGACAAGGUGUGGGUGGUAAUGACAAGGUGUGGGUGGAAAUGACAAGGUGUGGGUGGUAAUGACAAGGUGUGGGUGGUAAUGACAAGGUGUGGGUGGAAAUGACAAGGUGUGGGUGGUAAUGACAAGGUGUGGGUGGAAAUGACAAAGCGUGGGUGGUAAUGACAAGGUGUGGGUGGUAAUGACAAGGUGUGGGUGGAAAUGACAAGGUGUGGGUGGAAAUGACAAGGUGUGGGUGGAAAUGACAAGGGUGUGGGUGGA